GUAGACAUCUGGUGAGACCACGUGAUGUGGUGUAUCGUAAGUCGAGAAUUCAAGUUCUGGACUGGAUUUGGUUUGGACGGACGUCUCGGUAGCUUGGGACCGUUGUCCCGCGGCUGAAUCCUGUUACCGCUACUGUGAACGCUGCCAUCUCCCGCGCUCCAGACUCCAGCAGCAAGUAUGAAACUGUCGUUUCGUACCAUAAUUCAAGUUGUUUUUAACAUCCCUUAGUGGGCGGGGCCAAGCCAUCAUGAUGGAACAAUUUGAAGAGUUUUGUAUCAGACUAGAACUGAAGAGCGCCCAAAUCUUUUUCUCGUCGUUCAACCUUCCCUUCAGAGGCUCUCUUCACUCUCCUGCUUUACCAGAAGAAGAGGGUGGAAACAGCAGUAAAAAAAUCUGCUUCAUAUUCCAGCAUAAGAAACUAUGAAAAGGAAAGAGGCCGUUCCUUCAACUUCCAUCUGAUGUUCUUUGUUAUUCGGAACAUAAAAUUAGGGUUUGUUUAUCUCUUUACUUUACGACGUCACACUAAAUGAAUCCAUGUUUCUUCGAAUGUAAGAUGAU